rnacentral:rRNA from 1 species
GAGUUUGAUCCUGGCUCAGAACGAACGCUGGCGGCGUGCCUAACACAUGCAAGUCGAACGUGAUCCAGAGCUUGCUCUGGUGAAAGUGGCGCACGGGUGAGUAACGCGUGGAUAACCUACCCUGGUAUCCGGGAUAACMUUCCGAAAGGGGUGCUAAUACCGGAUAAGCCCACGGGCUCUUUGGAGCUUGCGGGAAAAGGUGGCCUCUAUUUAUAAGCUACUGUAUCAGGAUGGGUCCGCGUACCAUUAGCUAGUUGGCGGUGUAACGGACCACCAAGGCGACGAUGGUUAGCUGGUCUGAGAGGAUGAUCAGCCACACUGGAACUGAGACACGGUCCAGACUCCUACGGGAGGCAGCAGUGGGGAAUUUUGCGCAAUGGGGGAAACCCUGACGCAGCAACGCCGCGUGAGUGAUGAAGGCCUUUGGGUCGUAAAGCUCUGUCAGAGGGGAAGAAAUGAUAUAGUGCUAAUACCACUUUAUCUUGACGGUACCCUCAAAGGAAGCACCGGCUAACUCCGUGCCAGCAGCCGCGGUAAUAC